rnacentral:lncRNA from 1 species
AGUAAUAAUAAAUUCUCGAUGAUUCAAUUAAAUUAAUAUAAUUGGCUAAAUCUAAACUUAUUUUUUAAAUCAUUAUAAUUAAGUUUUACUGUCCAAGUUAAUUGGUUAAAUAAUUAUAUAUCGCUGAUAUAGUAAUAAUGUAAUAAUAUCAUUCAUCGAUGACGCAAUAAUUACAAAGUUACGGCAUUACUGCUUUAUCCGUGAAACAUUAGUAUGCAAUCAACUAAAAUGAACCGCAGAACUUAAUUGUGAUAAAUUAAAAAAUGUGAGCCAAAAACUAUAAUAAAUUAAAGUUUGAAAAUAAAAAUGUCAUGCACCGUAAAGUUGAUAGAUCGAAAGUGCAAUUUACUCUUAAUAAUUUUAGUCAUCUUUAGCAGAUAAGAUUAAAGUUAUUAAUAACUAAUAACUAACAUAAUUAUUAAAUUUAACAAAAUCUUUAACUUAAUUAGUUAUAAUAACUGAAAAAAAAAUGGAAGUGGAGAUAGAUGUCAAUAAAAAUAAAAUAAGAUUGAUGAGCCUAUUUCAAAUUGGUUUAUUGUUUAGGGGUGUUCCAGCACACUUUUACCAUAAUUAAGUAUAUCAUUUGUUAAUGUCACGUCUCAUCUAUACCUAUCUCUAUAUUAUUUCUUCUAAAGUUGUCAUUGCCGCAUGACAAUUUUUCUUUCAUAGUUGAGUAUGGGUUCCACCCCGAACCAGCUCAAAUCCUUCCUUUUCUUCUUCCUUCGACUGUUACUUUCUUUCAACAGCAAAACGAAUCUCAUCCUUCAUUAUCGUUUUUUUUAUCAAUAUUUUCUCUUUUUUUUUUGUCGAAGUUUUCUAUAUUUUCUCAAAUUAUCUAUCUGUCGCAUCGCACGGGUUACUACACUAAUGUAUGAUUAAAUAACUAGUUGAGAUUGUAUCAUAGUUUCUUAAUUUCCUGCUUAAACUACACCAUUAGAAAUAGAAAAAAAUAUAGAAAAUGUCCCACAAUUGUUUCAAUGGGUGGGAUUCAAUCCGGGUGUGGAUACGAAUAAAAAUGUUAAGUAGGAUCAGGUUAGGAUUACCUACUUCACUAAGCUUGAAAUGGUUUGGUUAAUGCUUUCGGUGGUUGUUUGGAUAAAUAUUAUUAUAAAUACAGUGUAAUAAUUGUUACAUAUAGUUAAAAAAUACAGUGUAAUAAUUGUUACAUAUAGUUAUGUAUAAAAGUGCUAAAAAAACUCAAAUAAUGUUUAAACUCCCGGACGAGGGGUAUAAAAUUUACAAGCCUUUUUUCACGUGUACUAAUAGCAUUUUCUAUUUAUAAAAUAUUAUAAAUAUUCAUUUUAAAUUGUCACUAUCAGUUUUACUAUUAUAAAUAAAUGAAUUGUAUCAAAAAUGGCCUCAUCACGCUAACUAGAGUCUUCAACUAAUUUACUCCAAGUUAUUCUUAAUUGUAAAUAAUUAUGUCAUAUUAUGUGAGAUCAAGAAAUUAAUUUUUCAUCAAAAACUGACAAGAUUUUUUGUUGUGAUUUAGUUUAUAACUAUCUUUUUUUGCCUACUUAAGUUUUUUUUUUUAGGAAAAACUUCAAAUACCCUCCUUGGGGUUUCUAUUUUUUUCAUUUUAAUACCAUAUGGUUUAAAGUGUAUCAAGUUAGUAUCCUGUGGUUUUGUACUUUUUCACUUUAGUACCCUGUGGUUUCGCACUUUAUCACUUUAGUACCAUAUGGUUUCGCACUUUAUCACUUUAGUAUCCUAUAGUUUAAAAACCAUAUGGUACUAACUUCAUAAAAAAAUAAAAUUAUAGGGUACUAACUUGAUACAAAAAAAAAAUCACAGAGUACUAACUUGAUACACUUUAAACCACAGGAUACUAAAGUGAUAAAGUGAGAAACCACAGAGUACUAACUUGAUAUACUUUAAGCCAUAUGGUACUAAAAUGAAAAAGUGUGAAACCACAAAGGUGUUUUUUUGAAGUUUUUCCUUUUUUUAAAGAAAAACUCAAAUGGUUCUCGUGUUAAUCUUAAUUAAUAAUUAAUUAUAACUAAGUAUAUAUUAUACUUUUUUUGUGAAUCUAUUUUCCACUUUGUCCAGAUUAGUAUAUUUUUUUGUUAACUAUUUGUGUAGUUUAGGUUGUUCUAAUUAGUUAGUGUCAAUUUAAUAUAAUUUCAGCUGCAUUUAUAAUAUUUUCAAGCAUAAUCAGGGCUUUUUUGCACUUGAACCUCUGAAAAAAAAUUAUUUUUAAAAAUAAUCCCAGCAAAUUUAUAUUUGCAAAAAUGGUCAUGCCCCUGCCACGCAAGCGCCACGUCAGCGCCACGCGGGCGGGGCUGGGGACGGUAGUUAAGUUAAACACGGUGAACCAUUCACCGUGUCAAAACAUGGUGAAUGGUUCACCGCGUUUAAAGCUAGUACGUAUUUUUUACAAUAUAAAUAUUGAAAAGAGGAAUAGGGAGUAGGUGUCACGCCCCGAGCUCCGCCAAUUUGGUCGGAUUCGAGCACAUGACAGACGCCGAACAGACAGUACCUCCCCUGUCCGCCCAAGGCUCUAACAACAAGUAUAUUACAAGCAAAUCACUAAAGAAAAUUGCAAGAUAUACAAGGUGUGCAGAAGGGCAAACAACAACCACAAGUAAAAGCAUCGAAACUAUCUAAGCAUUCAACAUACAAGUCAUUUGAUUUUAUUUGAAUCAAACACAAGUUGUCUAAUACAUUUAUUUCACACAUUUGCCUUUAACCAAAAUACAUUGCUUACAUCAUUCUUACAUUAGCCAAAAUAUAAUUUACAUUUCUUGCUUUUCAUCAUAUACAGUUCAACAUCUACAGUUGAGUACGCCAAAGUAUAGGGUAUGCCUACAAACUCCGAGGCCGCUAUCUAUGGCGCGACACCCUUGCCUCGAUCCUCCGCCGCCCCGCUCGCGCACGGAUCUGCAGAGUUAGUGGUAAUGAGAAUUAGAACGAAGUUCCCAGUGGGUUCGGUCGCCGACCACGCCGAUUCGCCCACUAUGUCUAAUUCAUGCAUAUGUAUUUCAAUAAAGAAGGAUAACAAACUAACUAAUGCACUUCUAAUACAAUGCCUGCAAUAAAGCAAAUCACAGAUAAAUAUUCAUAUUCAAUACAUGAUGAUUAUGCAUGCAUGUCCUUUUUACUUUUCUUUGGCCUUUACCCAAUCAACCCGGGGUGCUCCUGGUUUACCCCAACUCACAGUCCACAUGUCCCGUCUAACGGGGGAGGCACAAGGCACAACCGCCCGAAGGAUCUUCGCCGGGCACUUUCACCCGUGAUGCUUUUUCACUCCGGAGUACACCGCUUGUGGAGGAGCGACCUCCCACAAGCCGGAACCAAUUCAUGUGAGUAUGAUCCCAUCCUCAAUUUGAGGAGGCAUGGCCAAACGGUCUCAAUGCCACAAAAGCUAAAUCCUGUUUAAUCAUUUUCUUUAACCAUGUUGCCACAAUACCGAUGAUAGGUCUUUACCUAAUCAUGUAUGUCACUUUACUAAGCCACAAUGGUCCUGAUGCCAUAAUACACAUAAUGCCACUUUGGUUAAACUUUGUUUAACUAUACUCAUUUCAACGCCAAUCGAGUCACUAUAGUCAAUGUCACCGUUAUUUACUAUGGUCAUAGUCUUUUAUCACAUUCACAUGUAUAUAGGGUUAUUCGUUUUCUUGUUCACAUGUGCUUAUAUCAUUCACAAUAAUCUUAAGCAGAUAAUUGAUGCAAUCAACAUAUACCAUUCCUUACCUACAUGCAAGAAUGCAAUAAUACCAGCAUGCUCAAAAAUAGUGACAUAGACAUAGAAAGAGACUCGGUGUUUUCAGAUAGCACCCCCCACCUUUGUGUGAUACUAGGAUGCCGUGGUUCUGUUUUCACAAUUUUUAUACACUUUCACCGCAAGCUGCGGCAAUCUGUACCGACUCGGCUUCUUUUUCCAAUAUCUUCGCGCACGCUCGUCGUAUCGCCGAACCGAGCGCACCGAUGUAUUCGUUGACCUACCAAUUAGGUUAAAAAGAGAUCAAUCCCAAGAUUGAACCUCAAAAUCCAAAAAUCCUAAAGUUAGGUCCUUGUACAACACCAUCUUCCCCAACUAAGUCCCUAGCAUGAAUAACAUGGGGGAAAAACCUCUAUUCAUCUCCUAGAAGCAUGCUAAAAGAAAACAAGUUCAAAACCCUAGCUCAAAAUAUGGAACUCACCUUUAGAGUCUAAAGUUUUCCUCCAAAAGCUCUUGCACAAGCUAGCCACCACCUUGGGAAGCUUCUUCUCCAAGCUUGCUCCUCCAAAGCCCUCUUGGUCCAAACCCUAGGGAGAGAGGGAGAGAGAGAGGAGAAGUUUUUAGAGAGAGAGAGGGAAAGGUUUUAGGGUUAGGGUGUGAGAGAAAUGGGAGCCAACCCCAUCUCUCACCUCUAUACAUCCAACCCAUGUCACUUUUGCACAUAAGCCCCUCACUUUUUCAUUUUUGCAAACAGCCCUCACUCGGCAAUUUCGGGCUCGGGGACCGGUCUCUCCCUUCAGGGACCGGUUCCCGAGAGCUAUCGUGCAAUCUGCGCAGAAGGGGACUGGUCUCCCCCCGAUGCAACCGGUCUCUCGGGACCGGUCUCUCCCCCGCGGACCGGUUCCCGAGAGCUUAAUUUUCAGGACUUAGCCGAUUUUUCACCUCGUUCGGCUGAUCAACGUUCGGGAACCGGUCUCUCCCCGGGAGACCGGUCCUCGGGAGACCGGUCCUCACCUGAGAGACCGGUCCCCGAGAGCUUAAUUUUCAGGACUUAGCCGAUUUUUCACCUCGUUCGGCUGAUCAACGUUCGGGAACCGGUCUCUCACCCAAGGGACCAGUCCCCGAGAGUAAAAUUUCUGGAACUUCUCCAGAAUUGUAGUUUCACUCUCUCGGUUCCCUUUAUACUUUACAUAUAGGUUCCAAUGCACUUCUAGCCUAUAGUAACUCAUUCCUUUCCGCGUUCCGCACAUUUCGACGGAACUCGGCACGACUUACGGGGAAUCGCUAUAUUACAGUAGGAAUGUCAAUGGGUAUGGAUAUCCGAAAUAUUAUUCGAAUCCAAACCCGAAUAAAUUAUAUAUAUACAUAAUUUAUUUUUAUUUAUUUAUACAAUAUAUAAAAUAUUUAAUAAUUUUUAUUCCUUAGAUUUUUAUCCAACGGUAUAGAUUUUUAAAACCCGCUGGGUUCAAGUUCGGGUUUCGAGUUUUUGGUCGGAUAUGGAUAUGGGUAUGAAUUUUUAAAAUCCGUCGGGUUUGGGUUUUAUUUUGAUUUUCGGGUUCGAAUUUGAAUUUUUGAAAAAGAGAAAAAAAAAGGAAUACAAAUAUGAAACACAGUGAACCAUUCACUGUGUUUGAACACGGUGAAUGGUUCACCAUGUUCAACUUAACACACUGGCCCCGGUCCUACCCGCGUGGCACUGACGUGGCGCCUGCGUGGUAAGUUCAGAACUAUUUUUGCAAAUUAAAUUUUGAUAGGGUUAUUUUUUAAAUAAAAAUUUGUCAUGGGGCUAAAUGCAAAAAAAGUCCUAAAAUUUUUAAGUUAACUAAGAUGACAUAGGUAUAUAAUGGAUGAUGGGCAAAAUAAAAAUUUUAUUUAGUUUUUAAAUAAAUUGUUAUCCAUAUGGGUAUUAAUGAAGAUGUGUUUUCAAAUUAGAGUGAUAUUUUUUAAAUUCCCUCUCUACACCUGCACCAUUAAUAAUACUAGUUAAGGUCCUCAUGCGAUGCUGCGGGUAGUUAUUUUAAAAUUUAAUUUUAAAAAUUAGUUAUAAAAAUCAAUUUCAGAAUAAUUAUGAAAUAUUACAGACAAAUUACGAAAUAAUUUUAAAUAAAUGCAGCUUUCUUCCCUAAUAUAGAAUAUAUAAGGAGCUCUCUCAACAACAAGAUAUUUUGAAAUAGUUCUUCAACUUUAUUAAAUAUUUUCUCAUCUUGUUCUCUUUUGUUUGAUUUGAUAUUACUAAUUUUGUAAGGUUAUCUUUAAUAUUUCUAAUUUUUUACGAGUACGAAUGAAAUUAUCUAUUAUCCCAUACUAAUUAUUCCAAACAUGACCGCAUGUCUAAGGAAUUGAGAAAUAAUAAAUGAUGCAAUAAAUACAUCAAAAAAUUUUAAUAGGCAUAGUAGUCCCCUAUUAGUUAGUGAAAUAAUUUUUAGUAGGUAUCGUAGUUCUCCAAGUAGUUAGUGAAUGAGAAGAGAAAUCAUUGCUUGUGAUUCUCGUAAUUAAUUUUCGUCAAAUAUAAAAUUAACUUAAGCCGCAUCAAUCUUUUUUUUUAUUUUUUAAUGUACAAUUUAUAUGUGAAUACUCAAUAUUAUAAAAUUAACAUUUAUAUCUAAUACCAAUAGUCUAAAUUAUUUAACAUUUAUUUAUAUAUUUUACAUUUUAUAAAAAUAAAUAGUAAAUUAUAUAAUAAAUUAUUAUAUAAUAAUAUAUCUAUAUAUAAAUAAAAUACUAAUAUAUAAUAAAUAAAUAUAUAUUUAUAAAUAAAAUAAUUAUAUAUAUAUAUAUAGAGAGAGAGAGAGAGAGAGAGAGAGAGAGAGUAGGGCUACUAUGCAAUCGGAAGCACGAAGCCUUCUGUGCUUCCAGCUUGUUUUCGAUGUUGCGACUUUCGAAUCGUCGAUCGGCUCCGUUAAACUUGAUCUAGAGCAUUUGAAGUACUUAGAAAAUAAAUUUUAUUAUUUUUCGAUAUUAUUUGCCUAGUGAUCGAAUGGGCUCAAAAUCAACAAAUUUCAAUGGCCGUAGUGAGCCGUUUGCAAGUUUAACGGUGUAGAAAUAUCCAAAUCACGUGAAAUUUUGAUAGAAAAUUCUUUAUACUAUAUAAAACAAUAUCAAUAUCUUUGAUUUAAAAUUUUAAUGUCAUAUUAUUACAUUUUGUAAGAUUUUUAUUUUCAGCCGUUGAUUUUGAACCCCUUCGUUCAUAGGCAAAUGAUAUCGUAAAAUCAUAAAAUUUAUUUUCUAGGUACUUCAAAUACUCUAGAUCAAGUUUAACUGAGCCGAUCGACGAUUCGAAAGUUGUAACAUCGAAAACGAGCUAGAACAGGAAGGCUCCGUACUUCCGAUAGCAUAAUAGCCUCACUCUAUAUAUAUAUAUAUAUAUAUAUAUAUAUAGAGUUGAGCUAGAAUACUAUCGAUAGUAAACGAGCCGUUUUACUACAAUUUGUUUUCGAUAAUAGAGCUUCCAAAUUGACGAUCGGCUCCGUUAAAUAUGAUCGGCUCCAUUUAAACUACCUAGAAAUCAAAUUUCGCGCACUUUCGAUAUUGUUCUUUUAUUCAUCAAGUGAACAGAAAAAUGAAUGGCUGAAAAUGAAUAUUCUUUAAAAAAAUAAUGAUAGGAGUCUUGUAAUCAAGAUCAAGAGUAUAGAUCUUGUUUUAAAUAGUUUAAAGAAUUUUCUAACAAAAAUUCAAUUGAUUUGGAUAUCUUUACGCGUUAAACGAGAAAACGCCUCUUAUCGACCAUUAAAAUUACAAAUUUUGAAACCCUUUGAUCAUUAGGCAAAUGAUGUCGAAAAGAUUUGAAAUUUGAUUUCUAAACACUUUAAGUGGUAUAGAUCAUGUUCAACGGACGAUCGUCAAUUUGGAAGCUUUAUCGUCGAAAACAAAUAGGUAGUAAAACGGCUCGUUUACUAUUGAUAGUAUUCUAGCAAAACUCUAUAUAUAUAUAUAUAUAGUUGGACUGGGCUACUAUUGUAGCAAAAUCUCAUUGUUGCUACCAGUUUUUUAGCCUUUGGAUCAACUCUUUUCAUUAUUUCUAACCAUUGGAUUAAAUAUUAUAACCCAGUGGGGACCACUCAACCCUAGGGGGACCACUCAAUAUUAGCCGACUAAUAUCAUCCUGACCCUACAAUUUUUCAUCCAAGGGUUAAAACUUGAUAGCAAAAAGAGUGUUUUACUAUUAAUAAUAUUCCAGCCUAAUUCUAUAUAUAUAUAUAUAUAUAUAUAUAUAUAUAUAUAUAUAUAUAUAUAUAUAUAUAUACACACACAAUGAGAGGCUCAUGUCGUUCACGAGGCCGAAGUGGCCUCGUGGACCCUGUGAAAACCACGGCUAUGAGCGCGAUUUCUUUCGGCUCCGCACAGAGCCACGCCGCGCGCGCGUGCAGCGCCCCGCUCCCCGCGCCUCACACGCCCUGCCCGGCGCCAGCCGCGCUGCGCCGUGCCUCACCGCCCUCGCGCUCGCUCUUACGCUUGCGCCCCACGCCCGCCCACGCGGGCGCCACCCUCGCCGCGCCUCCAGCCUCGGCUCGCGUCCGCACUAGCGCCGGAGCCCCGCCCCCGCGCCGGCGCCGGCGCCAGCCCCCACGCCAGCGCCCGCUCCGCGCCCUCGCCCUCGCGCGCACCUCCGGCUCCCACUUGCCGCAUGCCGAUGCCGCGUUGAAGUUAUUGAGGUAUAAUAUAUCUAUAGAGAUAGAUAUAGAUAUAUAGAUAGUAUGUGAGAAUUAAGAAUCAAAUCCGUGCUAUUGUACUGGCUCUGAUACCACUUAUGGAUCGUAAGUGCUAACCAAUUAUUCCCAUAACAUGUCAUGAUAGAAAGGGUGCACAGAUCAUACUUUAAGCUCUUAGUCAUAACGUUCACAUAAUUCAAUCUGACUCAAUCCAUCAGUAUGUUAGAUUUACUAUUGAGCCUCUUAUCAUUAGGUCUAAUGUGGAUCGUAAUCCUACAUAAUUUAUUGGACUCACUCAAUUCAACUUAUAUUAGUCUCCUAAAAGGCACUGCUAGCAUACCGCUCAAAUAACUUCAUGCGUUGGAUUAGACGCGCAAGUAACUGUUGGGCUUUCUAGAAAUUAGGAAGGUUUGGACAAAAUUAAUUUUAGGAUGCGUUUGGUUCGCGCUAACUUUUAAAGAUUCCUAGUAAUUCAAUGGGAAUAAAAAAAUAUGACGGUGUUUAGCUAAACGCACUAAGUAAUCUAGUUGGUAAUAUUGAAUUUACUUAGGAAUAAGAUUCACCCCAAAGUACUAAUCUCAUUCCCUUGAGGGGGGUGGGUAUCGUCAUAUUAAUGGAUUGGGAUAAUCAUAAUAUAUCUAAUCUCUUUCUUUUUUUCUACCCGCCGGCUAAUUGAUAUUAUUUUUCUUUACACUCUAACCUUAUAUCUUUUUCUAAACUUAUUUUUCUCUCUAAAAUUUAACUUUUUUUUUCUCUCUAAACUAAGCUUUCUCUCUCUCUCUCUCUCUCUCUCUCUUUCUAAAAUUUCAACUCUCUCACUCCCUCUAAUUUCGACUAUAUUUUUCUUUCUAUUUUUUUAAUUAUGCUAUCUCUCUCUAACUUAUACUCUCUCUUUUUUUUCUAAAAAGAUGUUGAAACUUUUGAUAACAUUAUUUAAAAUUAAAUAAAUAAAUAAAUUAAUUAAUUAAUUGUAUAUUUUUUGUAAUAUUAAAUAACAUGGCUAAUUAAUAUUACCGUGCGAACCAAACACAUGAAUUCCACAUUCUUAGUAAUAGGAUGAAUAGGAAUAAGAUUCUCGGAUAUCUUUUAUUCCUAGUAAUCUUUCAUAAUGCGAACCAAACGCACCCUUAAUGAUAUUGUAUAGAUGAUUGAUUAUCUUUCCUUACAAACAUACCUAGAACAAUUGGACAAUCUAAUGUAUAUUAGUAAAUGUCUCUUAAUAGUACCCAAAUAUCCUAUUUGUCCUUAAUAUAUCAUUACAUAUUGUCAACAUACACACACACACACACACACACACACACAUAUAAAUACAUACAUGUAUAAAUAUGUAUGCAUGUAUAUAUACAUGCAUGCAUGUAUAUAUAUAUAUAUAUAUAUAUAUAUAUAUAUAUNUUAUUUAUUUUUUUUUUUUUUUUGCUUUUUCUCUCUCUUUUAACUUUUUUAUUUUUUAAUUUUUUUUAUCUAAAUUGUGCUAACAUUUGCCAAAGUUCUAUUUUGGUCUCAAACAUUGUAAGCUCGAUGUUUGAAACUCCAAAAUUUACAUUAUAGUUAAUGUUAAAAUUAAAAAACAGCACACUGUCUGCAUUUGAAUUUUUUUUUUUUUUUUGAGAGAUUCUGCAUUUGAAACCUUAAGAGUUCAAUUUUUAAAUAUAAAAAAUUAUAAUUUGAAAGAUAAUAGGACUGAAAUAUAACAUGGAAGAUUAAAAGUUGGCAUAUGCAUGAUGCACAAAUUUAGAGAUGCAUCACUCAUAGGCAAUAUUUUUUUCUUCUGAUAGUAAACAAGGGCAAGAAAUAAAACGAAACUAACCGUUCACAAUUUGCGAUGAACUUAAAAAUGACCAAAUUACAGAAAAUUUUUUUUGGUCAAUAUCUGUUUUUUUACUUUACUUCGUUAUUUAAAAACCUACACUUUGUCUUCUGAAAAAAUAUAAAAUAUUCACUUUGGCCUCCGCCGUCGAUAUUCUGUUAGGUUCCGUUUAUAUCUUAUUAUUAUACAUUUUUUAUACCCAAAAUACCCUCAGCCUCCUCUCCUCAGCAUUGCCGCCUUUUUUCUUGCCACCCAUGCCGCCUCACCCUACUUUGCCACCUCGCCCUCGCCCACCCCUCCAUCCGCGUCCACACGCACGCUCUCGUACUCCUUCGCUGUCUCACCCCCACCCUCGCCCUCGCCUACCACUCCGUCUAUGCCCACACCGAUCUCCUUCUGACCGUCGCCAAAAUGGAGGGGCAAUGAGGGUGCAGGAGGAGUGGGGGAGCAAGUGGAGGAAUUAAAGGAGUCGGAAGUUACGGUUGAGCGAGGUGCGAAGAACGGAAGAGAGAGACAACAACUAAGCAAGAUUGAGGAGAAGAUGAAGAUAGUGAAAGGUAAUUUGGUCAUUUUAUCAUCACAAUUAACACCGUUACCUCUUGUGAAUAUAUGUAUAUUAUUUUUUCUGAAAGAUAGAUAGCAUGCUACCCGUUUUGUUUAUUUUUUUUAGAAAUAAACUUAGUUAGAAAUAUGAAUCAAUUAGGAUUCGAACUUGGGACCUCAGAUACCAACCACUAAGCUCUUUGUCACUUGCGCCAGGAACGGUCAGUAAUAUUUUUUAUUUUUCAAGAAGACAAAGUAUAUGGUUUUAAAUAACGGAAGGGGAAUGAAAAAAUAGAUAAUGACAGAAAAAUUUUCUAUAAUUUAGCCCUUAAAAAUUCAAAACACAAAAUAAAUCUUACCCAAAAGUGCAAGGACAAGUGGUACAAUAUACCUUUUUUUUUAUGUUCUCUAUAUUUUUCUACCUUCUCUCCUCUUUUUUAUUGUUUUAGUUUUCUUCCUCUUUCUUAUCCUCGAAGCAAUACUGUCUAUAUAUCCUUCUAUUAUUUUUCUUUUUUUCUCAUCCUAACCCAAGAGCGAUGCUACCUAUGUACCGCAAAACUAGGUGCAAAAUGAAUACCAUAUUCAUCACCCUUGAGUCUUAUCAAUCUUUUUUUUCUCUCUUUUGUGUAAACUUUAAUUUGCCCCUUGUGGAAUAGUAUAUUUUGACUCUUUCACCCUAUGGUUUUAAAAGUUUAACUUAAGUAUUUUAUAGUUCUAUUUUUAUUUCACUGUAAGGAUCUAUUAAUUAUUAAACAUGGUUUCACUCUAUCGUUUUUACUUUAUUAGUAGAACAAAAAGAAAAUUACAAGACAGUUAGGUGUAACUUUUAAACCUUUAGCCUUUAUUUGGUUGGGGUUAAAGUGUGGAAUAACCCCUUAACCCCGAUAUUAUUCCCAAACACCCCCCAAAAUAGGUAGGGUUAGCUAAUCCCAUCUCAAAUGGGCUAAUCUCGGGUUAGCUAACCCCACCUAACUCCACUAAACCUCAAAUACUCUAAUCCCACCUUAACCCCGAACUUAACCCUAUUCCUGGAAUAACUAAUUUUUCCUUAACCCCGAACCAAACGGUAGCUUAAAGUAACAAAGUAAAAACACACUAAACUACACAAGUGCAAUUUUUUUUUUGAACCGUGGAGUGGUAAAGUGAAAACGCACUAUACCACGAGAGGAUAGAUAGAAUUUUAUCCUUUUUAGAACUUGGGGGGUGGUAAAAUGGCUCGUAGAUCUGGCAUAGUUCUCUACUAAAAGGCUAUAUUAUACUUUUGGUUCUGAUACUAUGAGAAAUGUGACACUUUGGUCCCUAGUAAUUUGUUGUAAUUUCUAACUUACAACAAAUUACAUUAUGAUCAAUUCUAUCCCUUAUAUCAUACUAUUCUAACCAACCACCCAUUAAUCCUAGGAAAAGUACCACCAAACCCUUGGGUCAUUAUCAUUAUGAUUUUACAAUUUUUCAUGUAAGGAUUAAAAAUCGGAUACUAUCGACAGCCGAAUACUAUUAAGAGUAUUCUAGUCCAACUCUUAUUUUUAGAGUUAAGAGCUGAAUGUUUAGAGCUUGAUUACUAUUUUAUCAGUUGUUUAGGUUGGGGACUAUUAUUAUCUUUUUUUUUUUUUGCUUUCAGUCUGUGUAGUUUGGGGACUGUUAUCAAGGCUCUCCAUCUUUUUUUUUUUCUUUUUUUUUUUUCAUUUGUUUGGGGUUUAUUGAUAAUUUUUUCCUACUUGAUAUGCGAUGGAUUUUGCAUUGUCCCUAGGCUCUUAAUCAAAUUCUUCCUUUAGUUAAAGGGUAAACUUUAAUUUGCUCUACAUAGUUUAGCUUAUUUUUACUUUGUCAUUCUAUAGUUCAAAAAUUAUAAUUAACUAUCUUGUAGCUUUAUCUUUAUUUUAUUUUAAAAACUAUACUAUCAAAUAGAGUAGCAAAAUGAAAUUUUUUGAUAAUCACAAGUUAAUUAAGUAUAAUUUUUUGGACUACACGAAGGCAAAGUAAAAGUGAGCUAAAUCACAGAAAAAUUAAUUGCAUCUUUCAGAACUAUAGUGUGGCAAAAUAAAAAUGAGCUAAAUCACAGAAAGGCAAUUGAAGUUUAUCCUUUAUAAAAAUUACCUACCGACUUUAUCAUCAAAAAAAGCCUAUGGAUUUUAUGUGUUUGUCCGUAAUUAAUUUCCAGAUUGAGAAUAACUAUCAAAUGAACUAAAAUGCACUUAGAAUUUAUAAGAAUUUUCCACACUAGCAUAGCUUCUUUUUACAGAUAUUUUUAUUAAGAUAAUCAGUAUUAAUAUAGUCGCAACCUUUACAUUUGUAGUAUUAGAUUUGUCUGUCGAAAUUCUUCUUGUCUUUUGAAUAUUUGGUACUCUUCUUAGAGUCCAAACUCGAAGCUCCUUUGCUUAAAAAUUUCUACUUUGACAAAAAUGAUGAAAUUUUGUUAGCUUGAUUUUUCUUCUUUGAAGUCCACUAGAACUUCUUAGUCAAAAGAGUCAAUUGUUUUUUUUUUUUUUUUUUGAGAGAUAGGUAGCACGCUACCUGCUUCGUUUAUUUCAUUAAGAAAUAAACUUAGCUGGAAAUGUGAAUCAAUUAGAAUUCGAACUUGGGACCUCGGGUACCAACCACCAAGCCCUUUUGCCAUUUGCUUUAGGGACGGUCGGUAAAAGAGUCAAUUGUUGCUCGAACUUCACCAUUGAUCUGGUAUUUUCCAAAUUAACUUCCAAAGAGUCCGAUUCUUCCUCCUUAAUAGAUCUCAAUGCCGUAACUGCACCAUUAGAAGACCGAGCAGAAGAAGAAUUCGAAGUAGGAAAAGUCAUCUUAUAAAUUCGUAAAAAAUCUACUAAUUUUUCAACUUCAUAUCGCCGGGAUGUUUCACUAUUUCUAUGGCAGCAAUAUUUGGUCUAAAAUGUUAAGAAAGAGUUCUAAAUAUUUUAUAAAGAAGCUUAGGUUUCAAUAUCUUCUCUCCUAAGUUAAUACACAUGUUUAAUUUACAAUAUUUUUUAAUAUAUAAUAAUUAGUGAAGAUCUCAUACUCGUCCAUUCUAAUAAAAUCAAAUUUGUUUCUUAGCAUGUGAAGCUUAAUUUUGAGCCUUUAUUAGAUUCAUUUCUUUGUGUGUAACUUGUAAAAUAUCUCAAAUCUCCUUAGUCGUCUCAUAUGCAGAAAAAAAAAGUGAAAUCAAUUCCGAAAAAAAUCAUUAAAUAAGGUAUUUAUGCCUUUCCUAUUUAAGGAAGAUGCAUCCAUCUCUUUCUUAAUUAGUCUACUUAGUUGGAGGUAUAAGGAUUUUAGCAUUAUUAACCUCCUCGGGCUGUGAGUUGCACCAGAAGAAAUUUGGCAUUGAUGGUUGGAACAUCCGCAAUCUAGUAUUAUAUAUCAUCUUUAUAAUAAUAAUUUUAUUAGAGUGAAUAAAUAGAACAAUAUAUCUUAUAUUUGCUCUGAUUGUCAAAUGAGUGAAUAUUUAAAAUAUCUUUCUUAUUCUAGGAUUAAUUACAUAUAACCCUCGGUAAACAUAUCGAAUAGCAUAUACAUUCUAACUUUUUAUGUUUAUCCCUGCAAAAGUCCAAAUUUUUUAAAUAUAUCUCUGCUGUCAUGAUGUAUUAGAAAAAUAUAGUUAACUAUAGAUAAAAUACUUAACCCUAAUUAGUGAAUAAUGUAAAUUGACUUUUUUUACCCUUUUAAUAUUAUUUGUGAUGGUAGAAAAGAAAAUAUGACCGUUGGGCAUUUUUGAAAAUGUUGGGACUUUUGGAGGGACAUAUCUGUGAUGUCAAAAAUAUCAUAUUAUUUAUCUUCUGUUAAAAAAUAGGAAAAACUUCAAAAACUCUCCUUGUGGUUUCAAUUUUUUUUACUUUAGUACCCUGUGGUUUAAAAUGUAUCAAGUUAAUACCCUGUGGUUUCUCACUUUAUCACUUUAGUACCCUGUGGUUUAAAGUGUAUCAAGUUAGUACCCUGUGGUUUUGCACGUUAUCACUUUAGUACCCUGUGGUUUUAAUUUUGUAUCAAGUUAGUACCCUGUGGUUUUUUAAACUAUAGGGUACUAAAGUGAUAAAGUGUGAAACCACUGGGUACUAAAGUGAUAAAGUGCAAAACCACAGGGUACUAACUUGAUACACUUUAAACUAUAGGGUACUAAAGUGAUAAAAUGAGAAACCACAUGGUACUAUCUUGAUAUACUUUAAACCACAUGAUACUAAAAUGAAAAAGUGUGAAACCACAGGGGGGGUUUUUAAAGUUUUCCCUAAAAAAUAAAUAGUACUCUAACGAUAACAAACCAGAGGAACAAACAUGAAUAUCACUGGACUUUUGCAAAGUUAAAAAUAAAAAGUUGAGCUUUAUAUGAAUAUAUUUAUUUAUUUAUUUUUGAGAGAUAGGUAGCAUGCUACCCGCUUUGUUUAUUUCAUUUAGAAAUAAACUUAGCUGGAAAUGUGAAUCAACUAUGAUUCGAACUUAAGUUUUGGGUACCAACCAUCACGCCCCUUGCCACUUGCUUUAGGAACGGUCGGUUAUAUGAAUAUAUUUGUUAUUCGAUAUGUUUAUAUAGAGCUGGAUGAAAUUAACUUUUUUUUGUAUUUUAUUUAUUUUUUUUAACUGAAAUUCUUGCUAUAAAAUAUGCAAGUUGAUAGUGGAUUGCUUACAGUUGAUGUCACUACAGCAAUUCGUGCGAUAGAUUAGAUCUGAGUCGCUCAAAUUCCAAACUCUUCAACCGAUGGACCAUAUUAUAAACUUGUCAAAAUUAAAAGAGAUCAAAAGCUAAACCAGCCAUUAACCUGGGUAGAAUCCGAAAUUCAGCUAACAAGAAUAGCUCAAAAUCAAAAGGACAAAGUUAAAAAAGUGUCCCGUCACAUUUUAGUUCUCGAACUUGAAAUUUUUAGCUCGAAUUAUGAGACGCGUGAUAUUUUAAUUCUCAAACUUUAAAAUUGGUUAUAAUUUUUGACUUGAAUUAUGAUGUAUAUGAUAUUUUAGUUUUCGAAUUUUCUGAAUUGCAGCAAUAACCCACUUGGUGAUGCAAAAACAAUUAAGAUGCUACAUCAGUCACCGCUUCCAUAUUAGUAAUCUAUCCAAUAUUUUAUUAAAAAAAAUUAAAAUUUGAGACUUGAUCGCGAUAAUAUAGAGUUCGUACACUAAAGUGACACACACCUUACAGUUUGUGUCAGAAAUUGUAACUAAUUAAAAUUUAACCCGUCACACGCCUUAUAAUUUGAGCCAAAAAUUGUAAUAAUUAAAAUAAUAUCAAGCGUCUCAUAGUUGGAAGACCGAAAGUGUAAUUUACCUAAAAGAGUAAGCAAAAAAAAAUGAAAAACUUCAAAAACCCCUUGUGGUUUCACAUUUUUUCAUUUUAGUACCCUAUAGUUUAAAGUGUAUCAAGUUAGUAUUCUGUGGUUUCGCACUUUCUCAUUUUAGUAUCCUAUGGUUUAAAGUGUAUCAAGUUAGUACUCUGUGGUUUUAUUUUUGUAUCAAGUUAAUACCCUGUGGUUUUAUUUUUGUAUCAAGUUAGUAUCCUAUGAUUUUAUUUUUCUCUUAAUGAAAUAUUAAACCACAGGGUACUAAAGCGAGAAAGUGCGAAACCACAGGAUACUAACUUAAUACACUUUAAACCAUAUGGUACUAAAGUGUAAAAAAAAGAAACCACAAGGAGGUAUUUGAAGUAUUUUCCCCAAAAAAAAAGGACUUUGUUGAUACCAAAAUUGAGCCGACCUAACCCACGUAUGAGCCAAUAAGGACACGUGGUACACCAGGAGUCGGCAAAAAGACGGGAACGGUUGAAGAUUGGGGCGUAACUUUCAUGAGGAGUUAGCGUAACUUUCAUGAGGAGUUAGUACAACUUCCACGAUCAUGGUUACAACCACUCCCCCGAACUUCUUUCAACGAACUAAUAAUGUGGGCUAUAAAUAGUAACUUUGAAGCCUGCAAUAGGGGUCUUUGCCCCUGCGCACAAAAAACCAUCCUUAUUUCCUCUGCAUUUUAUCGCUUUUCUAGGAGUAGUCUAAAUGUAAUCUUUUUCUUUUCCUCAUUUACUGCUUUCAUAGGAGUAGCUCUCGUAACUUAGCAUACUUGGAGUCUGUCUGCCCUACGGGCAUCACUCCCCUGUUCUUUUACUUGGAGUCUGUCUGCCCUACGGGCAUCACUUCCCUGUUCUUGUACGUCUAUUCAAUAGAAAAUCAUUUUCGGCUCUUCUCGCCGAUCAGAUCUCAAGUUGUUUAGUCAUUCGGCUCAUCUCUCAGUCGAAUUCUGAGCUUCCCCUCCUCAUUCGGCUCAUCCCGCCGAAGCGAAUUUACUGGGGAGGUUUUCGAACCCGGCUGAUUCGAUCCCUUAUCGGCCGAAUCGCUUGAUCCAUCGUGGGCCCAAACUUCGAGGGUCACAAUCCGCGGCCGCUCAUCAUCCCGACGUCCUUCCCGAGGAGAAUCCUUGACCGAGUCAAGGGUCAGGACUUUUGGCCACCAACAAUUUUUUGGCACGCCCGGUGGGACACAUUUUUUGGUAAAUUUAUAUUUUAUAUAAAUUAUGGCUGAUGAUUUACGUAAUAGGAUUGUUCCUAGAAAUUCUAGGAGUGAUCAAUCUAGUGAUUCAGACAAUGCUGACGAAUGUCAAGCAGUUUUGCCAAUUGAAGGAGAAACUAGUGGACAGUCGGCUCAUCAAGAGCCAAGUCUAACUCAGGCACUCGGCCAGAUGAGCCGAGUCCUGCAAACUUUAGAUUAAAAUAUCCAUCAAAGUACCGCUCGACUAGACGCGGUGCUGGCCGCUAUCACGGCCUAUAAUAAAAAUAUUGCACGAAUAGGACAAUUAUUGACUCGAAAUGAGCAAUCAAUGACAGGCUUACAAAGGCCUAUGAUGACACCAGUGUUGCAAAAUCCUACGACACCGAUAAAUGGAUAGCCCCAAUACCAGGGGGCACCAUUCCAAGCAGCUUAUAGACCGGCCGUCGUCAAUACCGGUCAACAGCCGGAAAUUACAUGGGGAUUGCCACCACCUCCGCCGAUGGUAGCAUACCAGCCUCAAAAUGUAGGGGCUAAAGCUGGGGGGCAGGUCCCUAAUGAUAUGCAAGGAGCGAACCCUGCAAUACAGAAUUCUGGAGUUCCUCAAGGGCCAAAUUCGGCUCAAGCACAAGCUCCGCUGUAUGCUCAGAUUGAGGAAGUCAUUCGGAAUACCUUUAGAGUAGGGGCCUCCUGAAGCUAAAUCUGGUAACUUUUCGAAAAGUGUCAGGUGUAGGUUUAGUUGGUUUUGGUAACUUUUCGAAAAGUGUUAGGUGUAGGUUUAAGAAGUUUUCUCCUAAAUUAAAUUCUAGUUCAGCAGAUAAUAAUUUAUCUAAAAUCAUUAAAUUAUGCUCCAAAUUCAGGUUUCAUAUAAAACCAUACAAUCCAUGAAUUUGAGCUACUAACAUGAAACUAUAACACAACUAGGAGCAUGCUGACAUUAUCUAAGACUUAGGAGGAAUUCCGACGUGUUCGAUCAACAUUAACCCACCUCAACCUCUCGUCCAACACCGGCUAGAGGUCGAUAGAAGAAAUCCCGUGCCAGAACAGCCUCAACGGAAUCAACUGAGGUGCUCGAGCAACCCUCCGAAGAUCAGAAGAACAAAAAUGAGAUCGAUCCUCAAAUUCCCUUAAAACUUAGGAAAAGAAGCUAGAGAGAGAGAAAGAGGAGAAGCUGCCUCAGCUCCAAGCUUCCUACACGAUAUAUACAAGCUGGGGGUCGGUUGGGAUAAACCCAAUAGCAAAAUUAUCAAAAGACUCCUUACCAACUCAAAUCUGUCGCCUAAGUAUCGGUACUCAAUUUCGGUACCGGUACCCGGCGCUUAAACAGCUAAAGCCCAGCGUUGGACAACUGGGUUUUAACACAAUGUACCGGUACUAGCUCAAUGCAGUACCGAUACCCAGUCCUAGUACUGGUACUCCACUCAUGUACCGGUACUCAACACUUAAAACAUGCAGUUUGUAAAUUUCAGUGUCAGAAUUUCAAUCACACACUGUGCUGAGUUCGUUUUUGCGUCCAUUUCGCGUCAAACGACUCAAACUCGUCCCAUCACUUAGCUCCACUGUCGACUCUAGGCCGUCUCAAGAUGUCACCGGACAACUCUGACCUUUUUCUCUACUUCCACAGAAUAUCCGGGCCCAAAGUCUUUCUUUCACCUACCUCACACCAAUGUAGGGAUGAUCGACACUUGCGUCCAUACAAUGCUUCAAACAGAGCCAUUCUGAUGCUCGCUUGAUAGCUGUUGUUGUACGCAAACUCAACUAAUCUCAAAUAUCGAUACCACCUACCUCCAAAAUCUAGGACACAAGCUUUCAACAUGUCCUCUAGAGUCUGAAUAAUCCGCUCUGAUUGACCAUCUAUCUGUAGAUGAAAUGCUGUGCUGAAGUGAAGUUAUGUACCCAAAACCGUCUGAAGGCUCCUCCAGAACUGCGAGACGAAUCUCAGGUCUCUAUUUGAUACAAUCGAAGUAGGUACUCCAUAUAACCUUACUACCUCAUCGAAAUACAACUGGGCAAGUUGCUCCCUGGACCAAGUAGUCUGCACCAGUAGGAAGUGAAUAGACUUGGUCUGUCUAUCCACUAUCACCUAUAUAGCAUUAAAAUCACCCUGUGUCCUCGGUAAACCCACGACAAAAUCUAUGGUGAUCUGGUCCCACUUUCAUUCUGGCACUAGAAGAUUCUGAAGUUUGCCAGCAGGAACACGGUGCUCCGCCUUCAUCUGUUGACAAGUCAGACACUGAGCCACAUAUCUUCUAAUGUCUCUUUUGAUUCCAUUCCACCAGAAGUGUGCCUUCAAAUCCUCAUACAUCUUGGUGAACCGUAUAACGUGUGUAAUGAGCCUUUCUCAAAAUCUUUUCUCGGAUCUCUGAAUCCAUAGGCACACACAGUUGGUCCCUGUACCACAGUACUCUCGAACUCUCAAUAGGAAAGUCCCCUAUUUAUCCACUCUCAAUUUUCUCUCGAAGCACAAGCAAAUGAGGGUCUACACUCUGUUUCUCUCGGAUCCUGUCCAACAGAGUAGGCUGCAAGAUCAAAGACAUCAGUCUCGCAGUGGCCUCAGGGGACACCACUUCAAGUCCAAAUCACUGCAACUCCUCAAGCAAAGGCCUCUGCUGAGUGAUCAUCAUGCUGAGACUUUGCACUGACUUCCUGCUCAACGCAUCUGUCACUACAUUCGUCUUGCCGGGGUGAUACUAAAUGUUGAUAUCAUAAUCCUUCAACAAUUCCAGCCACCGGCAUUACUUGAGAUUCAAUUCCUUCUGGGUGAACAAAUACUUGAGACUUUUAUGAUCGGUGAAAAUCUCGCAAUGCUCACCAUACAGGUAAUGCCGCCACAACUUCAGUGCGAACACCACAGCGGCAAGCUCUAAGUCAGACGUAGGAUAAUUCUUUUUAUAAUUCUUUAAUUACCGUGAAGUAUAAGCAAUUAUCCUACCAUACUGCAUCAGUACACAACUCAAACCACUGUGUGACGCGUCGCUAUAGAUCACAAAUCUUAACCCCAUAACCGGAAGAGUAAGAAUAGGAGCCGACAUCAGCCUCCACAAAACUCCUUUGACAGUUCUCACUCCAAAUAAACUUAAUUCCUUUACAAGUCAAUCGAGUGAGGGGUGUGGAAAGCUUAGCAAAGCCUUCCACAAAUCGACGAUAAUAUCCAGCCAAACCAAGAAAACUCCUCACAUCAGUAAUCAUCGUCGGUCUAGGUCAAUCCCGAAUCGCAUCAAUUUUCUUUGGGUCAACUGCUACUCCAACUGCUAAAAUCACGUGGCCCAAGAAAGAAAAUUCCUGAAGCCAAAACUCGCACUUCUUUAACUUGGCAUACAACUUCUUUUCUCUCAGAAGUUGCAAUACGAUCCUCAAGUGCUCCUCGUGCUCCGAAUCACUCUGGGGGUAAAUCAGAAUAUCAUCGAUAAAUACCACUACGAAACUAUCCAAGAACAGCUUAAAUACUUGAUUCAUUAAAUCCAUAAAAGCAGCAGGGGCAUUAGUCAAUCCAAAAGGCAUCACUAUGAACUCAUAAUGCCCAUACCGUGUUCGAAAAGCCGUCUUGGAAAUAUCCUCGGCCCUCACCUUCAGUUAGUGGUAACCUGACUGCAAAUCAAUCUUUGAGAUGACACAAGAUCCUUCCAGCUGAUCGAACAGAUCAUUAAUGCGCGGCAAAGGGUACUUGUUCUUGAUAGUUACUUUAUUCAACUCUCGGUAAUCCACACAAAGCCUAAGUGAACCAUCAUUCUUAUUCACGAAUAACACCGGCGCUCCCCAAGGUGACACACCGGGUCUAACAUACCCUUUAUCCAUCAAAUCUUCAAGUUGCACUUUAAGUUCUCUUAGCUCCGCCGGUGCCAUUCGAUAGGGUACCUUCAAGAUUGGCGCAGUUUUCGGAACUACGUCAAUCACAAACUCAACCUCCCUGUCUAGCAGCAUAUAUGUCAACUUAGGGGGAAAGACAUCGGGGAACUCGUGAACUACGUCAAUCCUCAAUUCAAAUCUAUCGCCUGAGUACCGAUACUCAAUUUGGGUACCGGUACCCGGCGCUUAAACAGCUAAAACCCGAGCGCUGGACAGCUGGGUUUUAAUACAGUGUACCGAUACUAGCUCAAUACAGUACUGGUAACCAGUCCCAAUAACGGUACCCCACUCAGAUACCGGUACUCAACACUCAAAACCUACAGUUUGUAGAUUUCAGUGUCAGAACUUCAAUCUCACACUGUGCCGAGUCCGUUUUUGCGUCAAUUUCGCGCCAAACGACUCAAAUUCGUCCCGACACUCUACAGAUGUGUCGACAAGCCAUAGAUACUGCAGUCACUCCGACCGUUAAACCCCAGGGAUACAACAAUUAUUCAUUUGCUUCUAAUCUUUGUAACCCUCAGAUGUCGAGUGUUAGGCCUUAAUUAGUGUAUGAAUAUUUUAUUUAGUAUAUUCUUUUAAUUUAAUAAAAAAAUGUAUACAUUUGGUAGAAAAGUAUUUCAAAUGAAAUAUCAUAUUCGGAUUUCGAUUUUUUUUAAAAAAUAAGAUAAAUAAUUUUUUAGGUGAAAUAUACUAUCCUACUAAAUCACAAAUAGUAAAACUUUAAAAAGAAAAUUAAAUUUCCUACUUAGAAAAAUUUUAUACCAAAAAGAUAAUAUAUUCAGACAUUCAAAUAUGAUCUAAUAAUAGAAGCAUGUGAAGUAGUCGUAGACUUAAAGAGUUAAAAAGUUAAAAAUAUAUGAACAUUAAUUGGAGUUGAGCUAUGAUACUUUUACAAGUAUCACCAUCAUGGUAUUAUUAGGUUUUAAGUCAUUGGAUCUACUUUUUAAUUAUUAAUAGCCCUUGGAUUAAACACUAUUCCACCUACCACCACCUACCACCACCUACCACCAUCAUCUCAACCUCACAUCUCUCCAUCCAAGGGCUAAAAACACACAAGUAUCACUCCCAUGAUACUUUUACAAGUAUUCUAGCCCUACUCCAUUAAUUGUUGUAUAUAAAAAUAUUAUAACUCAACUCCAAUUUUAUAUACACUAGAUAAUGGUCUUAAUAUCGUGCCAAAAGAACCGGUCAAUCCAAUGGGCUAACGAUGUAUUCACUAUUUCCAGAAAGCGAAUAGCCCAUUGAUGGAGACCACAUCUGUUAUCAGUUUGGGAUAGUAUCUGAUUAGUACUUCCAAAUUUUAAAAAUAUUUAAUUUACUUUUAGUUAACCAAAAUAUUUUUCAAAAUUUCAAAAAAUCUCUUGAAAUAUCCAAUGUUCUCGUUUGGAUUGGAUACAAGAAGGGGAUAAGUCUUUAUCCCUUUUUGUACACAAACACAAGUGCUGAAGUUGUGAAGCGCUUGUUCCCACUCUUAAGUGGAAUAGGGGUGGGAACAAGCAGUUCCCAGCUCUUUUUUUUUAAAAAAUUAAUUUUAAAAUUAAAAUUUAUAAUUUUAAAUUUUAAAUUUUAAUUUGAUAUUUUAUAUUUUUUAAAUUUAAAUUUUAAUAUUUUAUAAUUUUUAAAUUUAAAUUUAUCUUAAAUUUAAAAUUUAAAUUUUAAAAUUUUAAGUUUAACAUUUUGAAAUUUAAAAAUUUAAAAUUUAAAAUUUAAAAUUUAAGAUUUUAAAAUUUAAAAUUUAAAAUUGAAAAAUUCUAAAAAUUUAAAUUUUCAAAAUUUUAAAUUUUAAAUUUUUAAAAUUUUAAAUUUUAAAAUUUGAAAUCUAUAAUUUGAGAGUUUAAUUUUAAAUUUUAAUUUCAUAUUCUAAAAUUUAAAAGUUAAAAUUUUAAGUUUAAAAAUAAAAAAUUUAAAAUUUAAAAAUUCAAAUUCAAAUAUAAUAAGAGUGAUAAUAUCAUUUUUCUAAUCAUAAGUUCAUAACUACCCACUAUUCUUUUCAUUCCAUUUUUUUCUAUCUAAAUGUUAUUUUUUUUAUUCCCGGAAACAACGAAUUUUUAUCCAAACACAAAAUUGAUCUACUUUUUACUUAUAGCUAAACUUGUAUUUAUUCAUGAAAUAAGCUGUUCUUAUUUAUACUCGAGCCGAACGAAGUCUUAUUACAAUUUCUAUGCUUUGAUAUUUCAAUCCAUAUGAAUUAUUUAUUUAUUUACAUGAAUUGAUUGUUGUUGGUUGUCGCUUCGUGUGUGUAAAACAGUCUUAUACACACGGGCAAAUUUGGACACGCUAUCGUAGAUGCUUCCGCUCAAGUCCAGAACGUAACAUAUAUAGCUGCUAAAACCAGCUGUAUAACGUAGUUUUCUUUUUUUUGAGAGCGAGAGAGAGAUAGGUAGCACGCUAGCUACCCGUUUCGUUUUAUUUUAUUUAAAAAUAAACUUAGCUGGAAAUAUAAAUCAACUAGGAUUCGAACUUGGGUCUGGAUACCAACCACCAAGCUUUUUGCCACUUACUCUAGGGACGGUCGGUGUAUAACGUAGUUUUCAAAUAACACUUUUUACUAGAGAUAAGAAAGUAAAAAGUUGCCUCAUACGGGGAAGAGACCAAAUUUGUUCUCCAAUAUACUUUGUUAAUUAUUUUUUUUCAACUCUUUCUCCAUAAUUAUCUAAAAUUUUGCUUCAGGGAUUUGCUCCUCUCUUCUUUCGAUCUCUUUGGGUGACCUCCUCCUUCUUCCUCUUCUGUUGCGCACUAUGCAGACUUCAUCCCAGCUUUUGGUGGAGGUUGGCAGAUUCCGAGGUGGCUGGCGGUUCCGGCGGUUGGAGGUAAGUAGAAUUGAUUGGGACAUGCAGGUGAUCGGGGGGCAGCUUAGGAGGAGGGGAAUGUGCCUGUGCCACUGAUAAAUAUCUUUAUACAUUCUCUUUAGCUCAGAAAAAAAAAAAAGAAAAAAAGAAAAAAUAGAACAUCAAAUGCCAGUGGUUUCGUGUUUUUUCACUUUAAUAUCCUAUAGUUUAAAAUAUAUUACUUUAGUACCCCGUAGUUUUAUUUUUCUCCUUUCCUUAUUCUCUUUAUAAAUUUUUUUCAGUAAAAUUAGUGACAAAGUUAAAACUAUAGAAUACUAAAGUAAAAGACCACAAAAUACUAAAGUGAAUAUUCGAUAAAUUAUAGGUGGGAUAUCGAAAGUUUUUUGUAUAUAAUUUAACAAAGAGUUAAUAGCGGUGUUGAUUGAAACAGAAAAAUAAAAUCACGGGGUGCUAAAGUGACUCACUUUAAACCAUAGUGUACUAAAGUGAGAAAGCGCAAAACUACAUGUGUGGUAUUUGAAGUUCACCUUUUAGUGCCCCUUCUUGUCAAAAAUUUUGAAAACUAAUAAAAAAUUGUACUAGUAUUUUUUCAUACAUAUUUUAAUAAACAAUAUAUAUCUCAUAGGUGAUAUUCUAAGACUUGAAAAUACUCCCGCAUCAAAUCGCUACAGCUAAAUAUGAGGGCAUAUAAGACUAGAGUGACUAAAUUUAAUAACUGAAUCUAAGCAUUUUGAAUCAAUAGAUUUAGCCCAAAAAGUUAUGGAGUCUAGACCAAUAGAUUUGUUGGCUAUUUAUAAUUGGACUAAAAUAUAUCCAACAUCCUGCUCCGUGAUAAUAGACACAGGAGACUAAUAAGUUGAGUAGAGGUGCGGUCUAUAAGACACCUAACGGUAAGAGACUCAACAAUAGAUCCAACGUCCAGGUACGUUGAGUGAGAUCGAAACCUGCGAUCGUUGUGACUGAGCCUUUAAAUGCGAUAGGUGCACUCUUCCUAUCCGCAUGUACUUUUCGAAUAGUUGAUUAACCCUUAUGAUUCAUAAGAUUUAGCCUAACUAGUUAUUGAGACCAUACAACCCUAGGGACCGAGUCGUAGCAUUAAAGAGGACGGUAAAGCUGGAUGGGCUAGAUUUAGAUUUAAUAAAACCGAACCGUGGGCGAUAGAAGUUCUGGCUCUGCCAUGAUUGAAAGUACUCCUACUAUGUAAAAGUUCUGGCUCUGCCGUGAUUGGAGGUAAAAUCUGAAUGAUUGCUUUUAUUCAAACUGUUUCUUCUUUUUUUAAAAAUUUUUUUUGAGCUCUAACGGCCUUGAGCUUAACUUUUAUUGUUGAUGCUUAGAUUCGGAGAACCAAUUUUUUUUUCUUUUUUUUUUUGAGAGAGAAAAAAGAACCAACUUAGCUACCUUCUUCCUUAUUUGAUAUUUUUAUUUGGGUUAAUUGUAUAUAGUUCUAUGUAAAUGUAUCGAAUAGUAAGUAUAUUCUUAUAUAAAGUUUAACUUUUAACGCUCAUCACUACAAAAAAUCAGUGAUAUUCAUAUUUAUCUCUCUGGUUUGUUAUUGUUAGAAAACUAUUUACUUUUUAAUAGCAGAUAAGUGAAAUGUCAAUUUUACUUUCACAAAUAUAUUCCUCCAAAAACCCAACUGCUGUAAUCGUACAAAAAUAUCUCCUAAAAUAAUUUUCAAUGGUCAUCUUCUUCUUCAUCUUCUUCCUCUUUAAAAUCCAACCCAAUCACCGACCGUCCCUAGCGCAAGUGGUAAAAAGCUUGAUGGUUGGUACCCGGUCCCAAGUUCGAAUCCUAGUUGAUUCACAUUUCUAGCUAAGUUUAUUUCUAAAUGAAAUAAACGAAGCAGAUAGCAUGCUACCCAUCUCUUAAAAAAAAAAAAAAUCCAACCCAAUCCAUCAUUAUUGCAACCUCUUCUUUCACUUAUUUUCUCCUAAAUUUUUUCUUUUGAGCAAAAUAAGAAAAAAAGUAUAGAAAAAAUUGAAUGAAAAAGCAGCAUGUGUACGACGUGGGCAAAGCAACACAUAUUGCGGAUGAAUAAGGACGGAAAAAUUUUAAUUACAGAUUCGAAACUAGCAUGAAGGAGAGAAAGAAAAAGGAAGAAAAAAAUGAGUUUCCAUUGCUAAUAUUUUGAUUGAGAGAAGAAGGUAUAAUAUAAGAAGAUAGAAAUAUCAAAUUACCUCAUUGACUAAUUAGGGUUAAGUAAUUUACCUAUCGUUAAUUAAAUUUUUCUAACGGAUCCUAACGGCAGGGGCGUAUUUAAAAAUAUUAGGAUUUUUGUAGAAAUAAUAUAAAAAAGUUAAACUUUAUAGUGAUAUAUUUGUAAUUCGCUAUGUUUAUAGAGAGUUAUAUGUAAUUAACCUUUUUAAUUUUAGAGGUCUGAGGAUCGUACUUAAAAACUUUUAUAUAUUUA